ensembl:lncRNA
AUCUAUGCUUUAUACAUACUCAAACUUGCCUUGGCUUAAAAAAAUACAUACUACAUGCUUAAAUCAGAAAUGCUAGCCAUCUCACAGAAUACCAACUGAAACUAAGUGCAUUGAGAUCUGAGAUUGGUAAACCCAGAUUCAUUUACCACAGCUGUAAUUAAGUUUUUAGAAACUCUAUUCUCCUCUUUUUGGGGAAAUCCAUUGAAGUUAAUUUCUGUUAUCUUAUUAGAAGAAAAUGAUGUUGAUAUGUUUCAGAUUUUCCAUUUCAAAUCUUAUAAUUAAUUGGAUUUAUUUACUAUAAGUAGGAGGUAUAAAUGACACUCUUAAAUUGGAAGGAGGGGUGUUUUAGUGUCUGUUUUAGGUCAAAAUUAAUGAUUCAAUUUUUAUCAAAAGUUUUAUCCUGAAGUUUCAGGACCACUCUUCCUUAAUAAACUUGUUAAUGGAAAGCAAGCUUUAUGAACAUUUAAAAAUGUUGCUGCUGCUUUGUUACUUAAAAAGAAAGUUGCCAAGAGAGACUUCUUAGGGAAAAUAUUUGUUUUUUUUUCCAAAAAUUGCUGAAAUAUGGUUUUGCCAUUUUUAAAAAGUCUCAGGUUAUUACCACUCUGCCAUUAAAUAUUUGUAUGCCUGCAUUUUUAAAAAUUCUGUGCAUGUACUUUAUAGAGUACAUUCUAUUUCUGUUUUCAGAUACCCUACAACCAAUUUUUUUAGUAAUCUUUCAGAAUAAAAAUUAUCAUAAAUGAUUGAAAAUAAUCAUCACAUAGUUUAAGAUUGUAUGUGUUCAGUAGUUUAAAACAAUCUUUGCAUUUGACAGUAAGAAUCAAAGUCCCUUCAGUGUGCCUUUGUCAGCUAAUAUGUGACCAGCAAUGACAACCUUGGGAGUAUUUAUUAAAUAUUAUACUAUGAAUAUAGGCAACAUAGGACAGGGUUUGCAGUAUAGAGUCUUGAUGCUAAAUUCUCAUAUACCUCUACACGAGAAAUAUGGAGGAGGAAAACAAGCAUUUACAUAUAUUCUUCGUCACUUUGAAGAUGCAUGGCCUGAACUCGACUGCUUGUGUUUGUUUACAUAUCAGGCAUAGCCAGGCAUCUCCUGUAGCCAGAGGUUCCAUUGCUGUCUUUGCUCAGUCCUCUUUUAAAAUAUGAAUUAGUGGACAGGCGCGGUGGCUCACACCUGUAAUCCCAGCACUUUGGGAGGUCGAGGCAGGUGGAUCAUGAGGUCAGGAGAUCAAGAUCAUCCUGGCUAACACCGAAACCCCAUCUCUACUACAAAAAAAUUAGCUGGGCGUGGUGGCGGGUACCUGUAGUCCCAGCUACUCGGGAGGCUGAGGCAGGAGAAUGGCGGGAACCCAGGAGGCAGAGCUUGCAGUGAGCCAAGAUUGCGCCACUGCACUCCAGCCUGGGCAACAGAGCAAGACUCCGUCUCAAAAAAAAUUAAAAAAUAAAAAUAAAUUAUGAAUGAGUAUUUUCUAGAAAUUCAACUUGCUAAGCCUGUAAUACUUAAGGGUAGUUUAUCUAGAUACAGUACUUUCUUCCCUGAUAAGUAGUAUCAUUGGAGCCCUUAGGUAUAGGAGAAGAGGAAGAAGUUUAAAAAGUGUACCUGGGCCGGGUGUGGUGGCUCACUCCUGUAAUCCCAGCACUUUGGGAGGCCGAGGGGGGCAGAUCACGAGGUGAGGAGAUUGAGACUUUCCCGGCUAACACGGUGAAACCCCGUCUCUACUAAAAAUACAAAAAAACAUGAGCCAGGCGUGGUGGCGGGCACCUGUAGUCCCAGCUACUCGGGAGGCUGAGGCAGGAGAAUGGCUUGAACCCAGGAGGCGGAUCUUGCAGUGAGCUGAGAUCGCGCCACUGCACUCCAGCCUGGGUGACAGAGCAAGACUCCGUCUCAAAAAAAAAAUAAAAAGUGUUUAAGUGGAUUAAAAGAGAAACUUGGUCUAGUUCAUAAUAUUUUUAAUAGGGCUUUCCCUGGCUGCUGGAAAACUUAGGCCAGUAAGCAUCUCUUUGUUUAAAGUCCUACAAGACAAUUUGAAAUAAUUCAUUGUUCAUGCCAAAAUUCUAAGUACUGUUUUUCUUAGCAAGUGUGAUAUAACCGGGAAAAAUGGGUACAAGUAAAAGAUUCUUUGGAUCAUACUCAAAGCCUUAUUAGCACUGCACCUGAAUAAUAGGUCAUUUUGCCUCACUCAUUUGCCAAAGUAGCCAUUUCUAAGUUAAGGAAGUUUUUAGGUAGGCUCAUAGCCUUGUGUUUCAUUUUAGAUUGUAAGCUCAAUGGCAGGGAUACUAUAUCGAUAAUUAUGUUUUCAUACAGCAACCAUCACAGUAUAUUCUUGGUGCUUAAUAAAUGUUAAUAAUUGUUAAC